ACUCCGAGUUCUGACUUUGGGCCACUUCCGCACGCUCGCCUCAGGGCCUCGGCUUCCCGCCCUCUGGCCUCGCCCGCGCCGGGAGGCAGCGCCGGGGAGGAGCGGCUUGUCCGCGCCGGGAGAUCAAAAGCGCUUCGGGAACUGACACUUCACCCCAGGCCGGGGGCGGGCGGGUGUGAUGGAGAGAAGCCUCCAAGAGCGCAGACCAGGGUCGAUUGGCUGCGUUCAUUUCAACUCCCAUCCAGUCCUUCUAUUCACUUGGACCGCUGAAUAGAAGAUUUGUUGCUAAUUAUCUUUUGUUUAUGGGCUGGAGCAGCUGUUUGCUGGAGGAGGGAAGCAAGGCUUUGGGGCCAAAGGGUCCUCUUGGAGAUGAACUCUGAAGCCAGUCCCCAUUAUCUGGAGACAACCCAAAGCGCUUAACUUCUGCACUUGGUACGGGAGGUGAGAUGCAGACCCUUGGAAAUGGAGCACAGAAAGCCGGUGUCUCCUAUCCUGAUUUGUUCGUGGUCCAAUGAAAGCCAUUUGGAAGACCAAGCUGCUGCAAGGACGAUAUGAACAGAGAACAAGAAAGCCAUUUUUUCCCUCUGAAUUGGAACAUAUUUCUGAUGGGACUUAGAACACUUACUCAUUACAUUGGGGAACUCCAACCCACUAUUUCCUGAGAUCCAAAGUGGGACGUUAAAUCCUGUUAAAAGUUCUAAAGACAGAAUCUUCAGACUAAAUUAUUCAGACCAAAAUGUCGUGGCAGCUUCAAGUUAAAACCAAUUUUCAGAUAUGUGUUGGAGAUUUUCAGGUGAAA